AGGACGAACGCUGGCGGCGUGCUUAACACAUGCAAGUCGAGCGGUAAGGCCUUUCGGGGUACACGAGCGGCGAACGGGUGAGUAACACGUGGGUGAUCUGCCCUGCACUUCGGGAUAAGCCUGGGAAACUGGGUCUAAUACCGGAUAUGACCUCCUAUCGCAUGGUGGGUGGUGGAAAGUAUUUAUCGGUGCAGGAUGGGCCCGCGGCCUAUCAGCUUGGUUGGUGGGGUAAUGGCCUACCGAAGGCGACGACGGGUAGCCGACCUGAGAGGGUGACCGGCCACACGUGGACUGACGACGACGGCCCAGACUCCUACGGGAGGCAGCGAGUAGGGGAAUAUUGCAACAAGUGGGACGAAAGCCUGAUGC
rnacentral:rRNA from 1 species